AGCCUGAACGCUGGCGGCGUGGUUAAGACAUGCAAGUCGCACGGACGUAGCAAUACGUUAGUGGCGAACGGGUGAGUAAUGAAUCGCUAAUGUACCCCGGACUCCGGGAUAGCUGCCCGAAAGGGCAGGUAAUACCGGAUGACAUGACCGCACGGCAUCGUGUGGUUCUCAAAGGUCCGCCGGUCUGGGCGCAGGCGAUUUCGUAUCAGCUAGUUGGUGAGGUAACGGCUCACCAAGGCGACGACGCGUAGCCGGACUGAGAGGUUGGCCGGCCACAUCGGGACUGAGACACUGCCCGGACUCCUACGGGGGGCUGCAGUAACGAAUCUUCCCCAAUGCACGCAAGUGUGAGGGAGCGACGCCGCGUGUGGGACGAAGUCCUUCGGGAUGUAAACCACUGUCAGGGGAUACCAAGUUCUGAGGAUCCCCAGAGGAAGAGGCGGCUAACUCUGCGCCAGCAGCCGC
rnacentral:rRNA from 1 species